UGGGGAAUAUUGCACAAUGGGCGAAAGCCUGAUGCAGCGACGCCGCGUGAGGGAUGACGGCCUUCGGGUUGUAAACCUCUUUCAGCAGGGACGAAGCGCAAGUGACGGUACCUGCAGAAGAAGCACCGGCUAACUACGUGCCAGCAGCCGCGGUAAUACGUAGGGUGCAAGCGUUGUCCGGAAUUACUGGGCGUAAAGAGUUCGUAGGCGGUUUGUCGCGUCGUUUGUGAAAACCAGCAGCUCUACUGCUGGCUUGCAGGCGAUACGGGCAGACUUGAGUACUGCAGGGGAGACUGGAAUUCCUGGUGUAGCGGUGAAAUGCGCAGAUAUCAGGAGGAACACCGGUGGCGAAGGCGGGUCUCUGGGCAGUAACUGACGCUGAGGAACGAAAGCGUGGGUAGCGAACAGG
rnacentral:rRNA from 1 species